rnacentral:sRNA from 2 species
GCAAUAGACAUCUAGGGUUCCGGCUGCAACGCAGUGUCUGGACCGAGAGUUGUCAACCUCAUAGAGGUUACACGGAGGGAUAAAAGCCCGGGAGAU